rnacentral:rRNA from 2 species
UGACCUGCGGAAGGAUCAUUAC